GGAUAAUUGGGUGCAAUAAAUGUGUCAUUCACAGUAGUGUCAAGUGGCCAAAGUAAAUGAUGCUCUUGGAGCAUGGAGCACUCGAGCGCCAAUUUCAAUUGACGUGGAUGUGUGAGUGUGUGUGUGUGUGUUCAUUUCUUUUCGCUUUAAUUAAAAAUUUAAGGAAAACGAGAGCAAAAGCAGCA
ensembl:ncRNA R06F6.13 ncRNA